rnacentral:rRNA from 1 species
UACAGAGGUCUCGAGCGUUUGUUCGGAUUCAUUGGGCGUAAAGGGUGCGUAGGUGGCUUGGUAAGUCGGAUGUGAAAUCCCGGGGCUCAACCCCGGAACUGCAUUCGAUACUGCUUUAGCUUGAGUCCUGGAGAGGAGAUCGGAAUUUACGGUGUAGCGGUGAAAUGCGCAGAUAUCGUAAGGAAGACCAGUGGCGAAGGCGGGUCUCUGGACAGUUCCUGACGCUGAGGCACGAAGGCCAGGGGAGCAAACGGG